AAAGCAGGUCAUAGUGAUCCGGUGGUUCUGAAUGGAAGGGCCAUCGCUCAACGGAUAAAAGGUACUCCGGGGAUAACAGGCUGAUACCGCCCAAGAGUUCAUAUCGACGGCGGUGUUUGGCACCUCGAUGUCGGCUCAUCACAUCCUGGGGCUGAAGUAGGUCCCAAGGGUAUGGCUGUUCGCCAUUUAAAGUGGUACGCGAGCUGGGUUUAGAACGUCGUGAGACAGUUCGGUCCCUAUCUGCCGUGGGCGCUGGAGAACUGAGGGGGGCUGCUCCUAGUACGAGAGGACCGGAGUGGACGCAUCACUGGUGUUCGGGUUGUCAUGCCAAUGGCACUGCCCGGUAGCUAAAUGCGGAAGAGAUAAGUGCUGAAAGCAUCUAAGCACGAAACUUGCCCCGAGAUG
rnacentral:rRNA from 1 species